rnacentral:rRNA from 1 species
UACGUAGGGUGCGAGCGUUGUCCGGAAUUAUUGGGCGUAAAGAGCUCGUAGGCGGUUUGUCGCGUCGGCCGUGAAAACUUGGGGCUUAACUCCAAGCUUGCGGUCGAUACGGGCAGACUUGAGUUCGGCAGGGGAGACUGGAAUUCCUGGUGUAGCGGUGAAAUGCGCAGAUAUCAGGAGGAACACCAGUGGCGAAGGCGGCUUCCUGGACCAGUACUGACGCUGAGGCGCGAAAGCUAGGGGAGCAAACAGG